CCUACGGGUGGCAGCAGUGGGGAAUAUUGCACAAUGGGGGAAACCCUGAUGCAGCGACGUCGCGUGAGUGAUGAAGUAUUUCGGUAUGUAAAGCUCUAUCAGCAGGGAAGAAAAUGACGGUACCUGACUAAGAAGCCCCGGCUAACUCCGUCCCAGCAGCCGCGGUAAUACGUAGUGGGAAAGCGUUCUCCGGAUUUACGGGUUGUAACGGGAGCGUAGACGGCGGUGCAAGCCAGAUGUGAAAGCCCGGGGCGCAAACCCGGGACUGCAUUUGGAACUGUGCUGCUAGAGUGUCGGAGAGGCAGGCGGAAUUCCAGGUGUAGCGGUGAAAUGCGUAGAUAUUAGGAGGAACACCAGUGGCGAAGGCGGCCUGCUGGACGAUGACUGACGUUGAGGCGCGAAAGCGUGGGGAGCAAACAGGAUUAGAUACCCCAGUAGUC
rnacentral:rRNA from 1 species